rnacentral:rRNA from 1 species
GUUGUAGAGAUACAGCAGCCGCCUUGCGGUCUGUAUACAGGUGCUGCAUGGCUGUCGUCAGCUCGUGCUGUGAAGUGUUGGGUUAAGUCCGCAACGAGCGCAACCCCUAUCAUCUGUUGCCAGCAUUUAAGGUGGGGACUCAGAUGAGACUGCCGGUGACAAACCGGAGGAAGGUGGGGACGACGUCAAGUCAUCAUGGCCCUUAUGUCCUGGGCUACACACGUGCUACAAUGGCCGGUACAGAGUGAAGCGAAACCGCGAGGUGAAGCAAAACGCAGAAAGCCGGUCUCAGUACGGAUUGGAGUCUGAAACUCGACUUCAUGAAGUUGGAAUCGCUAGUAAUCGCGCAUCAGCAUGGCGCGGUGAAUACGUUCCCGGGCCUU